GUUCUCAUCUUAUUUCAUAGACUCCGUUACUACUGUGCAAAUGUGGAGGAAGCAAAAUGUUCCUCCCGUACACCUUACUAAUAAUAUUGGUGGUGCUGCGUGGGACUAAUGGCGAAGAUGAGGUUUUCCAAGAUCCACACGAAUUAAUGGUCCUGGAGCAAGAGAAUAUAACAUUGAACUGCAGCUACUCGACAUCUUCUUUCAAAGCUGCCUUCUGGUACAUUCAGUAUCCUGGGGAUGAACCGAGAUAUUUCGUGAAAAUAUACAGCACGGGGAAGGUAGAAAUGUCUAAAGAUUUUCAAGACAGAUUCUCUGCUGUUUUGAACAGGCAAAGCAAGACGUUUUCUUUACAAGUCUCUCCAGUUCUUCUCACCGAUAGCGUCGUGUAUUUCUGUGCCAUGGAGCCCACACUGCUGCAGAUAUCGUCGUCCCUGAACAAAAACCCACCCUGAGAGUUCCAAUUUAUGUCCAGCUGAGGGUGCUCUCACAACGAUAAACCAAAACGAUAAUCCAGCCUCAAGAACAUUAGACACAGGAUCAUUCACGAAAUAUGAAAACAAAGCACAACACUUCUUUUUAAAUUUAGCUUGCAAUCGCCCAAAAAUGAAGUUUAUAAAUUGUGAUGUUGUACACUGAAGAUGUUGUUCGUUGAUGAGGUUAUGUUGACCUAUUUUUAUUUCUUGCUGGACGUGUUGUAAAGGCAGAGAUUCGAACUGUUCUGAAAGCAUCGCAUUGAAAAGGCAUUUAAACUUUGUUUCAACAAAAAAACUUGCGCAAUAAAAGUCGGUAGGCCAGUUCUCCCACUUCAGGUUUUGGUUUGGUUUGGUUUGGUUUGAGCAAGCAAUCAAUUUGAGGCUGCUGGUCAACUAAACAGCUUCAUGCUGAUCUUUUCUCUUUGUCUUGACAUCUCUUCUGUACGAACUUCCGUUUUAUUUUACUUUCUUUUUGCCAAGAGGAAAUUUAUGGGGAUGUUCCAAGUAUUUGAAAUAGCAUCAUUAAGU